CAUGGUUGGCAAACUUUUCAGGGUACCAUUUAACUUCUGACUCUCCCGAGCAGCGCAGGAGGACUGGAUCACUCACAUUGACAACCAGAGCAGAGAUAUCAGGGCUGAUCACAGGGGAUGCUGAGCCGUGCCAGACAGCAGGUGUGGUCAGCAGCAGCAGCAGCAGGCCAGGACCAACAUCCCCGGGGCCCAUGGUGCCCCCACGCAGGGUGAGGAUGUGUCU
rnacentral:lncRNA from 1 species